GACGAACGCUGGGGGCGUGCUUAACACAUGCAAGUCGAACGAACUCGACCUUCGGGUCAAUGAGUGAGUGGCGAACGGGUGAGUAACACGUGAGAAACCUACCUCGAAGUAAGGAAUAACCCAGGGAAACUCGGGCUAAUACCUUAUGCCUUGCACAGAUCGAAUGGUCAGUGCAAGAAAGAUUUAUCGCUUUGAGAGGGUCUCGCGGACUAUCAGCUUGUUGGUAAGGUAAAGGCUUACCAAGGCUAUGACGGUUAGCUAGUCUGAGAGGACGAUUAGUCACACUGGAACUGAGAUACGGUCCAGACUCCUACGGGAGGCAGCAGUCGGGAAUAUUGCACAAUGGACGAAAGUCUGAUGCAGCGACGCCCCGUGAGGGAUGAAGGCCUUAGGGUCGUAAACCUCUUUCAGUAGGGAAGAAAAUGACGGUACCUACAGAAGAAGCCCCGGCCAACUACG
rnacentral:rRNA from 1 species